GAGGAACAGAGCCUCUUUUGCCUCACUCUUUACAGCCAGGAAAACAAAGGAAAGCCUGUCCACCAGCCUCUGCCUACAGAGCAGACACUCAAAGUGUCCAAAACCUAAGGGGAGCCCAGGAGUUCCAGUAGGCUCAGUAACUGUCCUUGAAAAAGCAAGAGAC
rnacentral:lncRNA from 13 species